rnacentral:piRNA from 1 species
CAAGCUCGUUUCUAUGGGUCUGU